CUUUCAUCUUGCUCUUGCUCUUGCUCUUGCUCUUGCUCCCUUCUUCCUUCAUCCCCCUCCCUCGCAAAAACCAACCACCACACGCCAGCCACAUCAGCCGCUCACCGCAGCUGACCUUCGACGCCGGAAACCACCGGUCGCCGCCAAACAGCAGGCCGUGACAGCCCCUGUGACGUGUCAUCCCCCUUCUUUCCCCAUUAUGGUGUUCAGUUCAUAAGAGGUUAUAAAACCCUAUAUUGGUGAUUAUUUUGACUUUUGCAGAGUGUCAGCAACUUCAGGUAGGGUCAGAUGGAGGGUAUGAGCUCAUACUUUGCCAUGGGCGCCGGGCCGGAUGACCGAUAACGCCCUUGGUCUUGUCACUAUGCCAUGAAGUAGAGAAAAGAUCCACUAUUCUUGAAUAUUCUUCGAGGGAUUAAACGUUCUAAAAGCAAAUCGUGGAGUAAAUAGGAAGUGUAAGCGGGGUUAUCAUAGAUAGACAUUACAGGUGAUGGAGCUUCUUUGCAUUGCAUACGGGGGAAAAUGAGUGAGAAUCUAGAAGUAUACAAUAUUUUAUUGUCUACAUAUAGUUUCUUUUUAAUUAAGUUGUCUAUGUUUUGGGUUUGAGGUACAUAUCCUCCUUUGUAUGAGUUAUUUCCGCUGCAUUGUUUUUGUGGUUUUUAUGAUUUAAAUAGUUUAUCAUUCUCUUUCUUUCUUUAAACUCAAGCGUUUACAUUGGAACCACGAUCCAUGCUUAGCAUAUCGUCUAAGGAUUAGGCGAUGAACAUUCCUCCGUGAUAUUUUGUUACAAGGCCGAUGAUGUCUUCUUUAUUAUGUUUUAUCGAUCGUUGUUUGUUUAGUGCAUCCAACAUUAGGGAAGGUGCUGCUGAAAUUUACUUUUUUUGGAGUUUUCUAAUUCCUUUAAUUAAAUCAUCCAAUUUUCUCUUUUACUUUUUAUUAUUUAUUAUAUAUUUUAUAUUUUUAAUGUAACACCCGAAUUUCCUUCGUUUUCUUGCGGUUUUGGUUCCGUAUAGAGGGUCGAAAAUUCAGGGGUGUUACACCUAUGGAGUACUAUUUUGCAUACUAGAAUAGAUGUUUAAUGUAGAUAAAAAAAAUCUACUUACAAAAUAAAGAAAUAAAAAACUUUUACUAUAAUAGAUUAACACCUACUGUAUAUUACUAUUUUAGGCAUCAAAAAUAUCUACUUUACGUACUAAAAAUUACCUCUUUACAUAUCACAAACACCUACUACACAUUUUGUAAACAUCUACUUUAGAUAUUAAAAAUAUCAAAAUUUACGUACUAAAAAUCCCUACUUCACACAUCAUAAAGGCUUACUACACAUUAAAAAUUUCUACUUUAUACAUUAUAAACACAUACAUUACAAUUACUUUACAUUAGAUAUAUACACCUACUUUAUAUGUAUUAAAAGUUGAAAUGCCUGCAAUGGAAGAAAUUGUGAGUGAACACCAUUACAAAAUCUUCAAAACUUAAGUUUAUUCUUAAUCUUAACUCUAGUUAACCUAAUUUCAAUCUUAAUUGAUUUUAAGUUUAUUCAUAAAUUCUUUAUUAUUUUAAGUGAAAAUUAAUUGGAGAAGGUAGACAUGAACGAAUUGAUGGAAAAAUUGGUUUGAAUAGUGAAAAUUAAAUUGAAGAAGAUGGAGGAUAAAUAUGAAUGACUUGAUGGAGAAGAGCUAUGAAUGAUGAACAAGCUGACAUCCAUGAAAAUAGAAAUGUUGUGAUGAAGAACAAGCAUAUUUUUUAUUAUUUUUUCUUUUUUAAAAAUUGGGUCUGCUUAAUUAGAGACGGUUUCUUACCUUCUAUCACAACAAUUUGCGUUACAAUUUUAGGCAUUUAUUUUAGAAGCAAACCUAGUCUGUUAAUCGCUCAAAUCUGCACAUGAACAUUUCAUGUUUAACCGACUAUAUCCUACCUCUUAAUGGUAUCAUUUGUAAUAGGGCAAUCUUAUUGGGCUAGAGUAGGGAUGACAAUGGAUCUUAGAUUUGCGCCGAAUUCGUGACCCAGAUAACCAUAUUCGUUUUGCA